rnacentral:rRNA from 1 species
ACAUAUUGUGAGCUUGAUGAGUAGGGCGGGACACGUGGUAUCCUGUCUGAAUAUGGGGGGACCAUCCUCCAAGGCUAAAUACUCCUGACUGACCGAUAGUGAACCAGUACCGUGAGGGAAAGGCGAAAAGAACCCCGGCGAGGGGAGUGAAAAAGAACCUGAAACCGUGUACGUACAAGCAGUGGGAGCACGCUUAGGCGUGUGACUGCGUACCUUUUGUAUAAUGGGUCAGCGACUUAUAUUCUGUAGCAAGGUUAACCGAAUAGGGGAGCCGAAGGGAAACCGAGUCUUAACUGGGCGUUAAGUUGCAGGGUAUAGACCCGAAACCCGGUGAUCUAGCCAUGGGCAGGUUGAAGGUUGGGUAACACUAACUGGAGGACCGAACCGACUAAUGUUGAAAAAUUAGCGGAUGACUUGUGGCUGGGGGUGAAAGGCCAAUCAAACCGGGAGAUAGCUGGUUCUCCCCGAAAGCUAUUUAGGUAGCGCCUCGUGAAUUCAUCUCCGGGGGUAGAGCACUGUUUCGGCAAGGGGGUCAUCCCGACUUACCAACCCGAUGCAAACUGCGAAUACCGGAGAAUGUUAUCACGGGAGACACACGGCGGGUGCUAACGUCCGUCGUGAAGAGGGAAACAACCCAGACCGCCAGCUAAGGUCCCAAAGUCAUGGUUAAGUGGGAAACGAUGUGGGAAGGCCCAGACAGCCAGGAUGUUGGCUUAGAAGCAGCCAUCAUUUAAAGAAAGCGUAAUAGCUCACUGGUCGAGUCGGCCUGCGCGGAAGAUGUAACGGGGCUAAACCAUGCACCGAAGCUGCGGCAGCGAUGCUUAUGCGUUG